GAUCCUGGCUCAGGACGAACGCUGGCGGCGUGCCUAAUGCAUGCAAGUCGAGCGACGCAUACUGGCGGGGUAACCCACCGGUAUGACGGAGCGGCGAACGGGUGAGUAACACGUGAGCAACCUGCCCCGAAGACUGGGAUAACCCGAGGGAAACCUGGACUAAUACCGGAUACUCUCGGAUCUCCGCAUGGAGGACCGAGGAAAGGCUUUAGCGCUUCGGGAUGGGCUCGCGGCCUAUCAGCUUGUUGGUGGGG
rnacentral:rRNA from 1 species